CAUUAUUUAAAUAUACCUGCAGGCGUAGGAUGGUCACUAUAAAAACAGUUUCUUUCUACCGAAGAAUAGACAAAGUGACAGUUAGACAAGACAAAGUGACAUUUAGACAAUGGAAAUCCGCCAUUUUGUCGAUAAAAUCUGUCAGUUGGUCGAUUCUUUCCCAUGUCCACUGUUAUUAUGCUAGCCCU